GGCAGUACGCAGGCGCCGGAGCCACCCCACUGAGGGCAGGCGUGUUAGGGCUGCACACAGGUGCCGUUCACGGUCGGAGCCCGAAAGGCAGCCCGUGGGUUUCCGGUUCCGGGAGUAGCCAACGGCCGCGGAGGCCACGACUAGUGCUAAGGAGGAGGCUGCGGUGGAAGAGGAAGGAGCAGAAGAGUGGACCAGGCGGGACGCGCGGGCGGGAUCCUCCCCAUGGGUCCACGGGCCUAGAGCGCUGCAGGCUGCGGGCCUCGUGUCAAGCUGGCUUCUGUUCUUUUCCUGAAGCAUCAAUGGCUGAGGACUGGCAAGACUGCCCAGCCCUGGGCCCUGGCUGGAAGCGACGUGAGGCCUUUCGAAAGUCAGGGGCCUCUUGUGGACGCUCAGACAUCUAUUAUCAGAGCCCCACAGGAGAGAAGAUUCGAAGCAAAGUUGAGCUGACCCGAUACCUGGGCCCUGCAUGUGACCUUACCCUCUUCGACUUCAGACAAGGCAUCUUGUGCUAUCCAGUUCCCAAGACCCAUCCCUUGCCUGCCCCCAGCAAGAAGAAAAAGAAGCCUUCUAAACCAGCCAAGGCUAAGAAACGUCAGGUUGGGCCCCAGAAGAGUGAGACCAGGAAGGAGACUCCCCGGAAGGAGCAUAAGGCUGGCACCAGCGCUGCUGUUGGCUCUGGCUCUGCCACAGGCACAGGCACAGCUCCAGCCUCAUUACCUGCACUUGGGUGCUGUGAGAAUUGUGGGAUCCGCCUCUCAUGGGAUGGUAUCAAAAGGCAGAGGCUGAAGGCGUUGUGCAAAGACUGCCGAGCACAGAGAAUCGCCUUCAACCGAGAACAGAGAAUGUUUAGGAGAGUCGGCUGUGGAGAGUGUACGGCUUGCCUGGUAAAAGAAGACUGUGGGGCUUGCUCCAUCUGCCGCCUGCAGCUGCCCCAUGACGUGGCCUCAGAGCUCUUCUGCAAGUGUGAGCGCAGACGCUGCCUCCGGAUUGUGGAGAAGAGCCGAGGGUGUGGAGUGUGCCGGGGUUGUCAGACCCAAGAGGACUGUGGCCGUUGCCGAGUCUGCCUUCGCCCGGCCCGCCCUGGUCUCAAGCGCCAGUGGAGGUGUUUGCAGCGACGCUGCUUUUGGCACUUUGCUCAUCGCUUCCGUGGUCACCCUCAAGGAUGUCACCAGUGCCCUCCUCAGGUUGUGGUUCCCCCUACUGGUAAGCGUGACCGUCGUAAGGGUGCCUCGAAGGUGGCUGCCCGACAUCCCUCCCGAGCCCAGCCCCUGCCUCCGCUUCCUGCAUCCCAGCACCCAGAGCCCACAGAGCUGCACAUCAGCGACCUAGCGCCCACAUCACCUGCUGAGUUCAUCUAUUACUGUGUAGACGAGGACGAGCUACAGCCCUACACGAACCACCGGCAGAACCGCAAGUGCGGGGCCUGUGCAGCCUGCCUACGGCGGAUGGACUGUGGCCACUGCGACUUCUGCUGCGACAAGCCCAAAUUCGGGGGCAGCAACCAGAAGCGCCAGAAGUGUCGUUGGCGCCAGUGCCUGCAGUUUGCCAUGAAGCGGCUGCUGCCCAGUACUGGGUCAGGGUCUGAGGAGGGAGCAGGACUGCCUCCGUGUCACCCUUGUCGAAAGAGGCCUGGUUCUUCUCGACGACUCCAUCUGCGCUCUCCCUCAAAGGCCCCUUUGGCUGUGCUCACCACCCCACCAGGCCCUGCCCAGGCUUCAGCAAAGCAGCAAGCAGGUAGAGGCUUUGUGCUGUCCCCACCCGACACAGACUUUGUGUUUUUACAAGAGGGUGCCGGCAGUCCUGUGCAGGUGCCUGGCCCUGCUGCAGCUUCCUCGGAAGCCCCGUUACAGGAGGCCCAGUGCUGUGCCCAGAGUUGGGGUGUAGCCAUGCCCCAGGUGAAGCAGGAGAAGACGGAUGCCCCAGAGGAGUGGACAGCAGGCACAGCCUUCCUGACUUCUUCUGCCCUGCAGCCUGGCUACCCUAGCAAGGCACUAGACUCAGACCUUCCACCCGUGAAACAAGAGCCCCCUGGCCCUGAGGAGGAUAGAGAAGAAAACAGAGAAGAUUAUAUCUCUGAAUCAGCCCCAGAGGAGGAGGCAGGAGGGGUUGGCACACCAGUGAUCACGGAGAUUUUCAGCCUGGGUGGAACCCGUCUCCGGGAUGCAGCAGCCUGGUUGCCAAGGUCCAAGGACCUUAAAAAUCCUGAAGCUAAAAUGCAGUAGACUGGAGGCCUCUGCUGACUGUAGGCCUGAAGGUGAUAUUUGCAGAUCGGCUUUAUGAGAAUCAACCCUGAUCUACCAGGGGCUGGGCCAUGGUUUGGUUGCAGAGCUUGUUUGUGAAUGAACCCUAGGAGAAAAUCCUGCAAGCACAAUCGAGGAACAGGCCUGCCCAGUCCUGGAAGCUUAGCGGAAGCCAGCUGGAGAGGAAGAGAAAGAGUAGAAGGCUGGGAGAACGUCUGCUCCUCCAAGGAUCUCAAGGCGAUGAGAAGUUGGAUGUAGGGUAGGGAGGGAUACAACUGAAGCCCCGACACACAACUCAAACAAGCCAUCUUCAUGACUGUUUGGUGGUGGCUUCUGGAAGAGACCUGGCAGUGUGUGAACAUUUUCUCAGGGAAACAGCAGUUGAAAUGCUACAGAAUAAAGGAGGAAAAGGCAUUGUUUGGUGAGCUCCUCCUGUGGAGCCACUUCCUAAACCCUCACAGUAGUCCUUAGGAAGACAGUGAGUGACAUUGUGCACUUUUGCAGGUGGGUAAACAGACUCAGAAGAGAUGAAUGUUCCCAGUGUCGAACAGCUAGUGGUGGUAGAGUCUAGAAAUACAUCAGGCUAUAACAGCUUUAUUCUUUAAUUCACUAAACUGUUAACUGCAAUCUUUUGUGCAAUAAUACAUAUUACAGUAACAGUUUUAGUAACUUUGAAAAUAGCAGUGGAUCACUAUGAACGCUAAGAUAUCCUUUACACUUUGCCUCCAUUGUGGUUUAGGGAUUCCCAGACUGGGUGGAUGGGAUCACCUUCUGGUCAGAGCAUUGGUUCGUUUAGAAUCUAGGUUCCCUGAAGGCCCUGGAUGCUGCGUAGGAUCCCUGAAUCCCGAAAGAGUGUUCUUCCCACUGCUGGCUGACAGUUUACUUGAGCCCAGAUGGUCUCACUUUGGCCGGAGCAGUGCUUGGAACUAAAGCUGUCAGCCUGGCCCGUCUUUUCCCGGCAGCAUCUUUUCUCUGAUGUCUUUUGUACUUGUUUCCUGCCCUCAGCCCAAAUGUUUGUUAGGAGGCUGAAUGAGUUUAUGCACUGAGUCCUGCCCAGGGGCCGGACUUAGCUCAGCCUUACCUCAUUUUCUAUCCUUAAAAUGCCAAAAAGAUAUAUAAUUGGUUACUUAGCCAGCUUUACAGGGCUAGGACUGAGUGCCUCGUCAUACUUUGUGUCCUGUGUGCUUCCUUUGCUUUAGCCUAGCCCCGCCCUGCUGCUCUAGGUAAUUCAGAUGGGGAUUACUCAUGUCUUAUUUCCACCUCACAAGGCACAGCUCUCUGCCACCCUCUCCUCUUCCUUUGCUUUGUCUACGUCUGUCCUGGAAUCAUACUGCUCUUUAACCCCCAGAGCACACUACUUGUCCCUAGUAUUCUAGUAAUUCUGACAGUGAUGUUCUAAGAGUAAUGUCUUUGUUGGCAUUUGACUUGUGAAUGAAGAUUCUGAUUACUAUGUAUUGACUAGGGUACAAUCAAAAGAUCACAACCACUAGAACAAAGAAUAGUGUAUGUGUUUUAAGGGAAUUUGGGGAGACAUUUUACAUUAUAUAAUUUUGGGAGAUGGUUUAAUAGCCUCUAAGGCUGUCAUUUGUAUAUAAUGCUGAAACUUAAAAGUAUUCAGGACAGUCAGUCAGAAAGGGAAGGUGGAUGGACACGUGGGAGCCCAUGAACAAGAGUUGGAAUUCAAGAAGAUGGCCUGGAACCCAUGUCAGUGUCUCAUCGUCUCCAGCUUCGAUGAUGUCUGUGUCCUGCAGAAGCUAGUGUCCUUCCUCAGAGUGAAGUAGCAUUUGGCCUAGAACUAGAGAAGCUGAAGGAAGAUCCCAGGAAAGUUGUAGCAGCUGAAGGCCUGCCUGUAGGACUUGCUGUUUCCCCAUACCAAGGCUACAUAAACUGUUAGCAGUAAAUGAAAAUGAGUAUUUUACUGAACUGCAGUUGAAAGAAGAAAUACUGUAGGAGAGAAAAAUCAAUUAUUAUUAAGAGAAGAAAGACAUUCUUUUGUGGCUGAAAAGCUGAACCCGGAAUUCAGGAAAUGGAAUCCAAAUCUAGAGAUGUACCAUGUAGAAAACCUGAAGUGGUUGGGUUACAAAUCAUUAAGCAUGCUAAUUUUGAAGGAAACCAACCUUAAGAGGGCAUACACAUGAGCUGCACUCAGACUAUUAGUAUCCGUCAGUGACUGACCUUGUUACUGACCCUCCCUCUUGUACUUUUCUGUUCUUAUUCCCUCCACUGAAGAGCAGGGGUACCAAAGCAGCAUUCAUAAUUGGCUCUUCAUUAUAACUCCAUCUUACUGUUAAUGGGAACUACAGCUGUGGUCCCCACGAGUGCUGGGGACAGUCUAGUUCCCUGGACUAUGUUGCCCGUUUUGCCUGAGUUCCUGACUCAAGAAUUGAGUAGCUGAACUUGUGAUCUGCAAGUGCUGGUCCACUCUGAUUCCUCCGUUCAGACUAUCAUGUUCAGCCCAGUAAGACUACUGCCCAACCAGUGCGUCUGACCUGCCUGCUUCCUGUGUUCACCCAAGUUAAGCCCCGUUCUCUGUUCGGUGCAGUAGGAAGAUUCUCUUCACAGAUAUUUCUGGUUGUGUGGCUCUAUAUAGCACUUAAGCUCUUUGAGCCUCAAUCGAUUUCAUUAUAAAAUAAAGCUGAUGAUACUUUCAGUUCCUUCAACCCUGUAAGAUUGUUGUCAACCUCAAAGGUUGUUUCUGGAAAUACUUUGCAAAUUGUAAAAA